rnacentral:rRNA from 1 species
UCAUUUAAUUGAUGACUUGUAUGAAGGAUUGGAUGAGAUAUAGACUGUCUCUUAAUUAAAUGUAGAAUUUAAUUUUUUUAUUAAAAAGUUAAAAUAAUUUAAAAAGACGAGAAGACCCUAUAGAGUUUUAUAAAUAAUUUAAUUGAGAUUAUUUAUAUAAUAAAAUUGAAAUUAAUUUAUUUAUUUUGUUGGGGUGACAGAAAAAUACAUAUAACUUUUUUUAUAAUUAGAACAUUUAUAAGUGAUUAAAUGAUCCAAUAUUAUUGAUUAUAAGAAAAAAUUACCUUAGGGAUAACAGCGUAAUUUUUUUUUUUAGUUCAAAUAAGAAAAAGAGUUUGCGACCUCGAUGUUGGAUUAAGAUAAAAUUUAAAUGUAGAAG